CUCUAGUGGGAAAUUCGUCAGCGCAAGUGUUGAAUGUACUACCACACCAAAUAUUGAUUAUCUUAGGAAACUAUUGGGUAAAAUCAUUAAGAGAAAUCCUAAGUUGCUUGGUUAUACUCUUCAUGAAGUAAUGCCACCCAAUAUACUGCUGCUGCAAAAUUUUGGGUUAUCAAGUGUGGAUAUAGAGAAGCUUAUUCUUUGAAACCCUAGAAUUUUUACUCGAAAAACCGAGUGGCAAGAUUAACACUGACAUUAAAUACUUCAUCUAAUUGUAAGUUUUCAUUCCUUUUUAUAGGUAAUUGUCAAUUUUCCUUCUUUUGUCUAUACAAUUUUUGUUUGGGCUUCAAUAAUCAUUAGGAUUUCUUCCCAUGUGCCUAAGCCUCGGUGAAUAGAGUUAUCCAAUAUCUUUGUUGGUGGAAGGUAUGAUAGAAUAGACGAGGUGUACGUAAGCUGACCUGAAAGCAGCAUUGAUGAAAAUAUGUUGUUUGGAUUUAUAGUUAUUAUUCUUGGUGAACUGCAUAUACACACACACACACACACACACACAUAUAUAUAUAUAUAUGUGUGUGUGUGUGUGUGUGUGGUGUGUGUUUAUGUAAUAAUCAUUUUCUCCGUUUGAAUCUUUAUCUUAUUAAAGCUCUUGCUUUAUUUGCGAUUUGCACUAAGUACUCCAGUAGAUUUUAGCUCUGUUUUUGUGCUUCGCCUAUGAUAACACAACAUGAAGCGAUAUCCCUCACUUCGUUGCGAUGGCUUUCAAUAACACUGGAAAACCUGUCAUAACAUAUAUUACUUUUAACUCCACUGUCCUACAUUGCUUUGCUUUAUCUCUCUCUAAGGUGGGGAGAAAUCACCAAUAACAUGGAUCAGGAUCACUAUUGAGCGACUAUCAAACUGAUCUGUAUUGGAUCUACUCCAACUUCUGACUUUGUUGGACCUGAAAGUUUGUUGUUGAGAAGCAAGUUAAUUAAGAUGUAACUGAUUAUAGUCUUUUAUGUGUUUUCUCGAUAAAUUAGCUUGGAGUUUCUUGUUCACGAGUUUCUACUCAAUAGAUAUAUUGUGGAGAAAUUAUAAGGUAGGUGUUAAAUACAUUCAUCCAAGUGAUAUAUAGUAAUUUUCCCUCACUGGAGAUCAAAGUUAUUUUUCUGUGAUAUUCUCUCACAACAUUCUUUUUUGGCUUUGUGCUAAUUGUAGGUAGCAUAUUCAUUCUUCACUUUUUUAUGAUAACACCUGUUACAAUCUGCAAGGUAAUGGAAAUUACACUGAAUUACUAUGUGUACCUUUUCGAUGAGUUGAAUCAAGGUCUUCGGUGAUUGAUUCAUUUGGUCUAUGAUAUUCUUAACUUGAAUUCUUGAAAAUCCAAAAGGCUUGAGGGUUAGGUGAUGCAGCGGCAAAGGCAUCUCUCAAAUAUAUAAAUACAAUAAUGCAUUUGUAAGAGAGCAAUUGCUAGUUGAGCACAGAAGGAGGAGACGCGGAGAAUUUCCUGUAAUAUUGGGUUUACACUAGAAAGUUUUAUUUAUUAAAGGAUGAGAUUAUAUGUUGCAUAGUAUUUUCAGAUUACAUAAACUAACCAGGAUGUCAAACCAAAAGGUUGAACUAUAAAGAAACACUCUGGAGAAGGGUUUUAGAAUAAUUAGAAGUAAGACAAAAAUGUAUACACAUCGAGUUCAAUCUCUGUAAUAAGAAUGAGGGUGAUGUGAGAUUAGACAAGAUGAAGGUGUCUAAAUGCAGACAAUAUAGAUAUGAAGUUCAGUUUCUCAGGAGAAUGGCUAGAUGACAUAACACAAAAUUAAAAUGUGAUACCUGAAAUGGAGUACUACAUUACCUACAGAAAGAGUUCAUAGAACAGUCGUGAUAUUAUUAUAUAGGUUGAAAGUUGGGUCUCUAAGAUCCAACAUACCCACAAGAUGGGUGAGUAGAAUUUCAGUUAUUAAAAUAGAUGUGUGACUAUAAAAGAUUCAAUAAGAUUGAAAAGAUCAGACCCUAAUAGUUGGUUCAACUGGCUCAUACAAAAGUGAAAGCGGGAAAUUGUCACCUGAAAUAACUUGUCCAUGUCUUACCUAGAUCUCCAAAUGUAUAUAAUGAUUAAAUGUGGUAAAAGAAGAUGAGCACAUCGACAGAAGUUGUCUAAAAAUAAAAAGUUGUCUCAAAAAGACUUACAAUACUCAAGACACUGGGGAUUUAGCUAAAAACAUAACAGAAUGGAAGCAAAAUAUCCAUAUAGAUUAGUUGGACAAUGCUUAGUUGUUAUCUUAUAUUAGGUGUAGUGCUUGCUAGGAGUCCUUUAAGUCGGGUAAGCUACUUGUAUAUUGGCAUAGCAGUAAAUAAGCAAUUCAGAGAGCUUCUACUUUUAUGUAAUCAUAAUUCUCCUUAAAAGAUAAAUUAUUAGCUUGGAAUGCAACUUGCGGGAUUAGAGUGAAACUGAUAUAGGGGAUUCAUAUAAUCCUCUUUAGUCUCGGAGUGAGGCUUAGCUGAUUGAUCAAUAUCUUAUGUUUUGAAGGAUGAGAUGCUCCAGCUGUAUGAUUUAUGCAUCAAGUACAAGCUAGAGAAAAUUUCUUUUGCUGGGGAUGUUGAUUGAACAUUAUUUGCGUCUCUCGGUUUAUCCAAACCUUGGUUCUACUCAAGCUUUUUACUGCUAAUUUACAUUUUGUUUCUGUCGAGCAGCCAUUCUUAAUAUAUGUUAACACUUAACACUGCAAAUUGCAGGCAUUCCCAAUAUAAAGUAAAAGAUGGUUUUGGUUAAUGGAGAGUGAAGUUGUGGAAUAAUUAGCUAGCUCUUUAGUUAUAAAUGGAGAUGAUAAAUUAUCGAGAAAUUCUGCUUAAAUAACAUCAUCAUAUGAAUGCACAUCCUCAAUCUGGAGAAACAACUUCUAGCUAGCUGAAAUUUCUUGUUUCCUUUGAUUGUGGGUUGCACUUCAAACCUAGUUUUUUGUGUUUGUAUUUUCACUAUCUAGGGGGAGGUGGCUAAACUCUUCAGCAUGUCUCAUGGAGCAUGUUCUCUAAGUUUGAAGAGUGGCAAUAAAGAAGCUUCUUUUGCACUAACGAACUUAAUGGUUAUACAUGUUGCACGUGACCUAUGGUUGGCUAAGUUGCUCAUACUCUUCCGUAUCGGAUUUGGUGAAUCGAUUUUGGAUACUUUGACCAAAAUCGAUGAAGAAAUUCGGGACAGGUGCAAUGACUUCAGAAAUCAAAACAAAAGCUAGGGUUAAAUUGAAGAAAAUGGAAUGCCUUGUAUAUAGAAAUUUUUAAGUCAGUUCUUUUCCUUUUAUCUCCUCCGAUUUUCCUCUUGAUCAAAUAGUUUCUCCUUCUUUGAAUAUCUUUGUAAGUUUUCCUCAUAAUAUCUCAUAAUCUAGACAUAUUUUUUGUUAACUCUAUUUUUAAAUGUUUGAAUUACUUUUUGCCAAAUUACCGCACUUGUAUCCAUACCUGGAUCAUUUGCCCACCGAUCUUAAAAUUUUGAUCAUGAAUGAUUGAACUUCUAGAUCCACAGUCGUAACACCCUCACUUGAGUCCGAACAACUUAGAUGGCUGGCAAUUUUGAAAGAGUCCAUAGGCUAUUACCUCUUUUAAGGAGGGCAUCUAAGAUAAAUGAUACAAGAAACUUUAAGCUCAAAAUACUUCAGAAAAUCAUUUGUGUAAUGGUGUCAAUCUCACUUUUCCUUAAUAAUGUUGUGGUGCAGACAAAAUUUGGGAUUCAGUAAUUGACGGGUGACAAGGGUAUCUUACAGGAAUAGGGACAGCAAAGUGAGAGAGGAUCUUUAGGUUUCCUCUAUGCUUUCACCUUCGUUAUGUCAUGUUCUGAAUUAAAGUCUCAAUAGAUGUAUGACUGCCUUUCAGGAAUGAUAUCGGAGAUUCUGAGGUGCAUGUGAUGCAUACAUAAAAGGUAGAAGUGAAUAUGAAAUUUCUUUACGGUAAGAUGCAAG
rnacentral:lncRNA from 1 species